GGGCACAAUAGUGAAUGCCUAGACGUAUAUUACCGAUGAAGGACGUGGAAGACUGCGAUAAGCUUCGGGUAGCUGUCAACAAGCUAUGAUCCGGAGAUUUCCGAAUAGGGAAACCUAGCACGAGUCAUGUCGUGUUGCCUCAUACUGAAUACAUAGGUAUGUGAGCGGGAACCAACUGAACUGAAACAUCUUAGUAGGUUGAGGAAAAGAAAGUAAAUAACGAUUCUCGGAGUAGUGGCGAGCGAAACGGGAUGAGCCCAAACCUUAUAAGUUUUUGUCUGUUCGCAGACAAAUAAGCUGAUAGGCCAAUGCUUAUAAGGGGUUGUGAUAUUACACAAGACCAAGCCAGAGAGCUUAACCUUGGUUAAGAUAUCUGGUUUGCGACCAAGAGCUAUCAAUUUUGGAUAAGGUAAAAAAUCGGCGUGGUUAGCAGAAUAGUUUGAAUGACUAACCAAAGGACGUGAAAGUCGUGUACGCGAAAACGACGCUGACCUUAUAUGUGUUUUAUCGAGUAGGGCGGGGCACGAGAAACCCUGUCUGAAUCUGGCUGGACCACCAGCUAAGGCUAAACAUAAUAUACGAUCGAUAGUGAACUAGUACAGUGAUGGAAAGGUGAAAAGAACCCCGGGAGGGGAGUGAAAUAGAUCCUGAAACUUUGUGCCUACAACGUGUCGGAGCCCUUCGGGGUGACGGCGUGCUUUUUGUAGAACGAUCCAGCGAGUUAAUUUUACGUGCAAGGUUAAGUCAAUUGACGGAGCCACAGUGAAAGCGAGCCUGAAUAGGGCGAUUUAGUACGUAGGAUUAGACCCGAAACCGGGUGACCUAACCAUGAGCAGGCUGAAGCUACUGUAACAGGUAGUGGAGGGCCGAACCGUAGUCCGCAGCAAAGGGCCCGGAUGACUUGUGGUUAGCGGUGAAAUGCCAAUCGAACCCGGAGAUAGCUGGUUCUCCUCGAAACAGUUUUAGGACUGGCGUCGCGUAGUAGCACGUGGGGGUAGAGCUCUGUAAAGGACUGGAGGGAGCAAUCUUAUCCACCCUUAACAAACUACGAAUACCAUGUGUGUAAGCGCGGCAGUUAGAACGGCGGAGCUAAGUUCGUCGCUCAAAAGGGAAAAAGCCCAGACCAACAGCUAAGGUCCCUAAAUUUACGUUAAGUGGGAAACAAGGUGAGAUUUCUUAAACAGCUAGGAUGUUGGCUUAGAAGCAGCCAUUCAUUUAAAGAGUGCGUAACAGCUCACUAGUCAAGAGAUCUUGCGUGGAAAAUGUAACGGGGCUAAACGUAAUACCGAAGCUUUGGAUUUGCAAUUUAUUGCAAGUGGUAGAGGAGCGUUCCUAUCUGCGGUGAAGCAGUUUUGGAAAGAAUUGUGGAGCGUUAGGAAGUGAGAAUGCUGGAAUGAGUAACCAUAAGAUAGGUGAGAAUCCUGUCGGCCGUAAGAGCAAGGUUUCCUGAGCCAUGGUAAUCAUCUCAGGGUUAGUCGGGCCUAAGCCGAGGCGCAUAGCGUAGGCGAUGGACAUCAGGUUAAUAUUCCUGAACCGGUUAAGUUUUGUACACUGUUCACGGAGAGAUAUUUAGAGCGGAUUCAUGGUUUUUAUCCGUCCAACCGAGGGGGAACCCAAAGGGAGUGAAAGUUACCUUUUAGGUGACGAUUCUGAAAAAGGCUCUGGCUAGAAAAGCAGAUGUACGUAUGGACUUAGCCGCCCGUACCGCAAACCAACACAGGUGCUCGAGUCGAGUAGACUCAGGCUUACGAGAGAACCCUCGCUAAGGAACUCGGCAAUACAGCGACCGUAACUUCGGAAUAAGGUCUGCCCCCCAUUUCGGUGGGUAUAUUGUCAGGUUUAAGCGAAUGAAUAGAGAACGGUUAAAUUAAAUGAGUAUACCUUUUAUAAUUUUAACGAAACUUCUUACUGAGAUAGUCAACAAGAUUAAAUUCUAAGCUUAAAACUGAGACUCAAUGUAUCUAACGAUAUGGGGGGCCGCAGCUAAAGAGCCCACGGAACUGUUUAUCAAAAACACAGCUCUCUGCUAACACGAAAGUGGAUGUAUAGGGGGUGACUCCUGCCCGGUGCUGGAAGGUUAAGGGGAGUGCUUCACGGUACGAACUGAAGCCCCAGUGAACGGCGGCGGUAACUAUAACCGUCCUAAGGUAGCGAAAUUCCUUGUCAGGUAAGUUCUGACCCGCACGAAUGGAGUAAUCAUGUGGGCACUGUCUCAGCGAGGGCCUCGGUGAAAGUGCAUUGGCGGUAAAGAUGCCGUCUGUCCAUACCAGGACGAGAAGACCCCAUGGAGCUUUACUACAGUUUUACAUUGACCCGGGUUUCAACAUGUGUAGCAUAGUUGGGAGGCUUCGAAGCAGAUACGCUAGUAUUUGUGGAGCCGCAACGUGAAAUACCAACCUUGUUGUGAUCUUGGUCUCACGUUUA
rnacentral:rRNA from 1 species